CAGAUUUGUGGUAUAAUGAAUCUGUUCUGCUGAAAUGCAUCUCAAGGCUGUUUAAUGAAUUAUAAUAAUAAAAUUACAAUACUGCCAAAAAUGUUACCUGCCUUGCACUGCUUAAAAUUGCUUGUUGACACAAAUGUGGCGAUAUGUGUUGUAGUUUGAAUUCUUCAUGUGUACACACACUUCACAGGCUGAAGCUGGAAGUAGGCCAUGUGACGUAAAACAUCUUCCUGUUCCAUAUCCCUGUCUACAAAGACCUUUACUUUACAUUAACAAUCAUGUCUUCGUACAUCAAACACCUUGAAAAGGGGACAGUCUGGAAAUCACCAAGACCAAGAGGGAAUGUCACUGUGGACCAGUGGCACUUAGAGAGGUCUUUGUGAUCGAGUGUUAAGCAGAGACCAUAGGACGAACACAAAGCCUCCCUUUUAGAAGAGGACCUUAAUGAGGUUUUCGUUAAUGAUUUUAAUCUUUUAAUGUUUUUAGAGUAUUUGUUGUAGAGGAUGUUUGUGUCAUUUUGUUCAGGUUUUUUCACGGGCUUUAAAAAAUACCACAACGGUGAGUAUUUCCACUUCUGGUUAUGGUGCGAAAAGGACGUUAGUGUUGUAUUGAGUGUAGCAGAGAGGUCAUGUUUGAGUGUCCAGCAGGCUCGUUCAGUCCCUUCCAUCUCCUCCCCCUUCCUCUUUAGCAGUCUUCUGGUGGCCUGCGGCACACUGCACCCUCUGUUCUCAUCUCAUGUGCCUUUCUCUCUCUCUCUCUCUCUCUCUCUCUCUCUCUCUCUCUCUCUCUCUCUCUCUCUCUG